rnacentral:rRNA from 1 species
UCUUCGGGGAUGAUUAAACCGGCGCACGGGUGAGUAACACGUGAGUGACCUGCCUUUUAGACUGGAACAACUUACCGAAAGGUGAGCUAAUGCCGGAUGAGUUAUAUAAGUGCAUGUUUAUAUAGGAAAAGUUGGGGAGACCUGACGCUGAAAGAUGGACUCGCGUCCCAUUAGCUAGUUGGUAGGGUAAUGGCCUACCAAGGCGACGAUGGGUAGCCGGCCUGAGAGGGUGGCCGGCCACACUGGGACUGAGACACGGCCCAGACUCCUACGGGAGGCAGCAGUGGGGAAUUUUGCGCAAUGCUCGUAAGAGUGACGCAGCGACGCCGCGUGAAUGACGAAGGCCUUCGGGUCGUAAAGUUCUUUCGACAGGGAAGAAAAUGCCUAUAAGUAACUGUGUAUGUAUUGACGGUACCUGUAUAAGCAGCCCCGGCUAACUCCGUGCCAGCAGCCGCGGUAAUACGGAGGGGGCGAGCGUUGUUCGGAGUGACUGGGCGUAAAGAGCACGUAGGCGGUGUUGUAAGUCAUUAGUCAAAGACUAGAGCUCAACUUUAGUAAGGCUAGUGAUACUAUAAUACUAGAGUAUCAGAGAGGAUUGCAGAAUUCCUGGUGUAGCGGUGAAAUGCGUAGAUAUCAGGAGGAAUACCGUUAGCGAAGGCGGCAAUCUGGCUGGAAACUGACGCUGAGGUGCGAAAGCGUGGGUAGCAAACAGGAUUAGAUACCCUGGUAGUCCACGCUGUAAACGAUGGAUGCCAGGUGUUGGGCUUUUAAGUUCAGUGCCGCAGCAAACGCGAUAAGCAUCCCGCCUGGGG